UGAAGAGAAAGUAAUUGUAGAUCACAUGGCUAAAAGGUCCCGGCGUCGGUUCAGAAAACGUACUGGGGUAUAAUGAUCUAAUGAUCUCAAUCUCUGGGUGUUUCAGCUGGUCGAAGGUGGAUGGACUAUGCUAGCCGAGACCUGAGAGCAUCUGUACUGUAAACGGUGGAGGCCAUAAAAAACAGAAAACAGUUUUGCUAUAGGAAAGUUAUACAAUUUUACAUUACAAUUAACAGAAAUUGAAGAUUCAACUAAAGCAUCUGGAUCUGGAGCUUACCAUGUUGUGUGCAGACGGCAACGCAGGAAGUCUUUGUGGUGUAGUUUGUAACACCUUCCGCUGCUGUUCCCUUAACUGUAAUUAAGGAAAAGCCAUGGACGGGCAGCUUUGUACUGAAAGUAACUUUGAAGUUAUAGUUGGAUGUGGUACAGUCGGGUUUCCCUGUUGUAUACUUAAUCGUUCUGUAGCAACAAGUUAUCCUUGUCUUCCAGUUUCAAACUUUGGAGUUUUAGUCAACUUUUUUGCCAA